ACAAAUUUCGGGCCGUCGGCCUACCGAACAACAUUACCCACUCGAUGGAAGAUCUUCCCUUCGUCGC
rnacentral:pre_miRNA from 1 species